GUGCCAGCAGCCGCGGUAAUACGGAGGAUGCAAGCGUUAUCCGGAAUUAUUGGGCGUAAAGCGUCCGUAGGCGGUUUUUCAAGUCUGCUGUUAAAGCGUGCAGCUUAACUGCAUAUCGGCAGUGGAAACUGAGAGACUAGAGUGUAGUAGGGGUAGAGGGAAUUCCCAGUGUAGCGGUGAAAUGCGUAGAUAUUGGGAAGAACACCGGUGGCGAAAGCGCUCUACUGGGCUACAACUGACGCUGAUGGACGAAAGCUAGGGGAGCGAAAGGGAUUAGAAACCCGAGUAGUCC
rnacentral:rRNA from 1 species